rnacentral:lncRNA from 1 species
UUUUUUUUUAAGAAAAAAAUAGCUCAUUAUCUCUUAAGGAAAUGUACUGAAAUAUUUUUGGAUAAAAUGAUAUGUUUAGGAUGUGCUUCAAAAUAUAAAAGGGAGUGAAAAAAAGUGCCAUGAAGCAAGACUGGCCAUUCGUCAGUAACUUUUAUAGCUAGACGUUAAGUUCAUGGGUGUAGGUCAUGUCCCUUAGGCUUCUUGGUCUAUUUCAAUAUGUCAUUGAAAUUUUCCAUAAUAAAAAUCUUCCCAGGUUUGUGAACUAUUCUUCCCACAAUUUAACAUACUCCUACACAUACACAAACCUACCCAGAACAUCCUGUGUACAAUAUGAAUUCAAUAAUUAUUCCCCAGAGGAAAGGAAAAGGGGAAGCGAGAACAGAGCAUAUUUGUACCGUGAUACAACAAGUUUCAGACUUUCUCAUAUGAUUAGUAUUAACUAGUUCUAGACUGAGGGACAUGGAAGAGCUGCAACUAACAUAAGUAACUACUUAUGAAGUAACAGUGGACCUGAACUGGGCCCCCCCCUGCCUGAGUUUAAAUCCCUUCUUUCCUCUAAAACACAAAAAUAUUAGUCCUUUCUCUUUCAAAACUUUCCUGUGCU